AAGCAUGCUCCCCACGUGUUCGAUUGGAUGCUUAUAUGGAGAAAUGAGGCCAUUUGAUUUGCUAAGUGUGAAGUCCUCAAUUAUGUGUUGCGUAUGAUGGCCUAUGGGCAUGUUGUGUAUGAGUUAUCUAUCUUGUGUUACUUUAUGCUAUUGUGUGCUAGGGGUAUGUAUGCCCGAAAUAGUCUGCUGGUCUAGAGCCGAG
rnacentral:lncRNA from 1 species